rnacentral:tRNA from 1 species
GGCCUCGUAGUUCAGUUAACUGGAGGGCUCGCUGCGCUGUCGUGGGUUCGAAUCCCACCGAGGUCA